AUUGCUUCUCGGCCUUUUGGCUAAGAUCAAGUGUAAAAAUACCCCCAUUAGUUUGUUCAGCGGUGUCUCAAGGCUAGCUGUCAUUGUUUUCAUUAUGUUUUCUUUUUCUGUCUGACUGGGAAAUUACAAAAGACAUGUCUUCAGGUCCAGAUACUCUUUCUCCUGCUUGUUCUAGUCUGCUGCUGUGAAUAGGAGCAUAC